rnacentral:pre_miRNA from 1 species
CUGUGCCUGGCUCCCUGUAUGCCACACGUGAAGACCAAUCUGAUUACUGAUCGGCUAUCGUGGGUGGCGUGCGAGGAGCCAAGCAUAC